CAUCAUCUCUCUACCCAAAUAUAAGCACUGUUCAUACUAUUUCCUUCCUGCCAGAGGCCUUUUGAUGGCCAUGAAAGACUAACAAGGAGGUCACCUGCGAUCGGGACCAUGGGACAGUAUCGUGCAUAACCCACCACCUGGGGUUUUUUACAAAAGCUUCCAAAGGAAGGCUAACCCUCUCAGCCCCUUCCCAAAGGCCCCUCCUAAGAAACAUGAAAUAAAAUAGAAUUCUGCCCCUCUCUGUUUCCUUCUUUGUACCUCCGGUGCAGCCUGGGCUGUCCCCUCCUCCACAGCCUAGGAGCCCCUCUCACUGGGUAGUUGAGCACUCACAAGCCCAGGCUGCUGAAGCAGGAAGUGCUGCGGUGGGGGCUUACAUUGUCUGCCUAGGAGGCAGAGGCAGCCCGUGGAGGUUCCUUGACCCCAGUGGCCCCAGGCUGACCCCCUGCCAGAGGAAAGGAGCCGGACUGCCAAGAAUGCAGUGGAAUCCCGCUGAGGCUGGAGCCUUGGUAGAGAAAAUGUGCGGAAUGCCAUUUGUUAAAACACACUGGCCUUUGCACAGAAAAGCUCUUUGGGCUUCAACAAAGAUUUUAAAGUAAAGUGUAACCCUGGAGAUUAUCCUGAGAGGUUUGAACCAUUAUUACAGUGAAAUGGCAAAAACAAGGCCAAUAGGAGGAGAAGGGACUAGCCUGUGCCAACAAGAAUUAUAUGGUAAAAAUAAUGCUUUUAAACUUAUUUACAUAUUUACCUAUUUAUUAGAUUCAGAAUCUUGCUCUGUCACACAGGCUGGAGUGCAGUGGUGCAAUCAUAGAUCAGCACAGCCUUGAACUCCUGGGCUUCAGUGAUCCUCCUCCCUGAGCCUCUUGAGUAGCUAGAACUAUAGGCACAUGCCCAUAUGCCUGGCUAAUUUUUAAAUUUUUGGUAGACAUAGGGUCUUGCUAUGUUGCCCAGGCUGGCCUCAAACUCCCGGCAUCAAGUGAUCCUCCUGCCUGGGCCUCCCAAAGCUCUGGGAUUACAGGCAUGAGACACCACUCUCAGCCAAAAAUAAUGUUAAUUAUAAUAGCUGGCUGGGUGUGGU
rnacentral:lncRNA from 1 species